AGUCGGAUGUGAAAUCCCCGGGCUCAGGCUGGGAACUGCAUUCGAAACUGGCAGGCUAGAGUCUUGUAGAGGGGGGUAGAAUUCCAGGUGUAGCGGUGAAAUGCGUAGAGAUCUGGAGGAAUACCGGUGGCGAAGGCGGCCCCCCGGACAAAGACUGACGCUCAGGUGCGAAAGCGUGGGGAGCAAACAGGAUUAGAUACCCUGGGUAGUCCACGGCCGUAAACGAUGUCGAUUUGGAGGUUGUGCCCUUGAGGCGUGGCUUCCGGAGCUAACGCGUUAAAUCGACUGCCUGGGGGAGUACGGCCGCAAAGUUAAAACUCAAAUGAAUUGACGGGGGCCCGCACAAGCGGUGGAGCAUGUGGCUUAAUUCGAUGCAACGCGAAGAACCUUACCUGGUCUUGACAUCCACAGAACUUAGCAGAGAUGCUUUGGUGCCUUCGGGAACUGUGAGACAGGUGCUGCAUGGCUGUCGUCAGCUCGUGUUGUGAAAUGUUGGGUUAAGUCCCGCAACGAGCGCAACCCUUAUCCUUUGUUGCCAGCGGUUAGGCCGGGAACUCAAAGGAGACUGCCAGUGAUAAACUGGAGGAAGGUGGGGAUGACGUCAAGUCAUCAUGGCCCUUACGACCAGGGCUACACACGUGCUACAAUGGCAUAUACAAAGAGAAGCGACCUCGCGAGAGCAAGCGGACCUCAUGAAGUAUGUCGUAGUCCGGAUUGGAGUCUGCAACUCGACUCCAUGAAGCCGGAAUCGCUAGUAAUCGUAGAUCAGAAUGCUACGGUGAAUACGUUCCCGGGCCUUGUACACACCGCCCGUCACACCAUGGGAGUGGGUUGCAA
rnacentral:rRNA from 1 species